rnacentral:rRNA from 1 species
GACGAACGCUGGCGGCGUGCUUAACACAUGCAAGUCGAGCGCUGAAGCUCCUUUUUGGGGGGUGGAUGAGCGGCGAACGGGUGAGUAACACGUGGGCGACCUGCCCUCAGCUCUGGGAUAAGCUUGGGAAACUGGGUCUAAUACCGGAUAUGACCUGCCGUUGCAUGAUGGUGGGUGGAAAGUCUGUCCUUUGGUGGGCAGUUCGGCUGGGGGAUGGGCCCGCGGCCUAUCAGCUUGUUGGUGGGGUGAUGGCCUACCAAGGCGA